UACGAAGGGGGCUAGCGUUGCUCGGAAUGACUGGGCGUAAAGGGUGCGUAGGCGGGUCUUUAAGUCAGGGGUGAAAUCCUGGAGCUCAACUCCAGAACUGCCUUUGAUACUGAGGAUCUUGAGUAUGGGAGAGGUGAGUGGAACUGCGAGUGUAGAGGUGAAAUUCGUAGAUAUUCGCAAGAACACCAGUGGCGAAGGCGGCUCACUGGCCCAUUACUGACGCUGAGGCACGAAAGCGUGGGGAGCAAACAGG
rnacentral:rRNA from 1 species